CAGCAGUAAGGAAUAUUGGGCAAUGGACGCAAGUCUGACCCAGCCAUGCCGCGUGAAGGAUGACGGUCCUCUGGAUUGUAAACUUCUUUUAUCUGGGGCGAAAACCACCCUUUCUAGGGUGCUUGACAGUACCAGGUGAAUAAGCACCGGCUAACUCCGUGCCAGCAGCCGCGGUAAUACGGAGGGUGCAAGCGUUAUCCGGAUUCACUGGGUUUAAAGGGUGCGUAGGCGGGCAGGUAAGUCAGUGGUGAAAUCUUCGAGCUUAACUCGGAAACUGCCGUUGAUACUAUCUGUCUUGAAUUUAGUGGAGGUAAGCGGAAUAUGUCAUGUAGCGGUGAAAUGCUUAGAUAUGACAUAGAACACCAAUUGCGAAGGCAGCUUGCUACACUAUUAUUGACGCUGAGGCACGAAAGCGUGGGGAUCAAA
rnacentral:rRNA from 1 species